UGUCCAGCUGUGAAGAAGUCGCUGGUCCGGGCUCGCCUCCUGCCACUGGCAGUAAAAAACGCACGAAGUGCAGGAGGCCGGGAUUCGCAGAUGUGACAGCACAGGAUGGACUCCAUGGGAGAGGGGACACGGGAGGCGAGUGCCGGGUUUGCCCCGCGUCCUGCCUGUGUUGAGAUGUGGAGCCCAGGCAGAGUUCAGAGGUCACGUGGAGCUGAGGAGGCAGAGCCGGGGUUGGGAGCUGCUGAGGCAUUUCACCGUCUCAGGGUGAAGGACAAAACUGAGGAGGACCAGCCCUGAUGAAGCGUGAAACCAGCAGUCCCAACAACCCCAACCCACACCCGAUGAUGGGCACACGUACGUGUUCCAUCUGCACAAUGCGAUGCGAGUCAGCCACAAAGCAGAUGAAGCACUGACACACUGCAUGUGGAUGAACCUUGAACACGUCCUGCUGAGUGAGCACAGCCACACACAGAAGAGCACAUGUUGUGUGACUCCAUCUAAGUGAAGUGUCCAGAAGAGGAUGUAGCUGACAACAUGGACAAAAGGAGAGAACUGAUGGGGGAAUUUCAUCAGAGAAAUGGAAGCCAUAAGAUUGUCACUGGGCAGGCUGAACAGCACACAGGAAACUGCAGAGGAAAAGAUUCACAGGAAGUCACAGGACAGAUGGCACAGAGACGUCCCCUGCAGAUUCCUCAUCUGUAACGUGCAUGACAUCUUGCACAGUCCAGCACCAGGGCCAGGACGUUGCGUUGUGCAAAGCAUGUGCCUAGUUCUCGCGGUUUAUCACACGUGCAGGUUCCCGCGACCACCACCGCGAUCUGGAGCACAUCUGCUGCGUCGCCACAGAGACCUUCCUCCUGCUGGCCCUUUACAGUCAUACCUUCCCACCCUCCUCCUCCUGUGACAGCCCCACCCCUGCAACCACUAAUCUGUCCUCCGACUCUGUAGUGUUGUCAUUUCAAGAGUGUUGUGUAACUGGAAACGUACUGUGUGUGACUCUUCGAGACCAGAUUCUUUCACUCAGUGUUGUGCCCCAGAGACCCACCCGAGUGUCGCUGGAGCAGUAGUUACUUCCUUCUGCGGCUGGGUGUGCUCCACGUGGGGCUGCAGCACGGUUUGCUUAGCCAGGCACUAUUGCAGGGCACUGCGGCUGUUUCCAGUGUGGCUAUUACAAGCACGGCUGCUAGGAAUAAUGGUGCGCAGGUUUCCGUGGGGACAUGCCUCUUCCUUUCUCUGGGGUCAGCGCCCGGGAGUGCCAUUGUUGGGUCAUGCGAGAAGCACGUGCUUAGCUUCCUAAGAAGGCCGGGCCAUUUCCCAGAGUGGCAGCCCUGCUUUCCAGCCCACCAGCCAUGGACAAGGGAUCCAAAUUCUCCACAUCCUUGCCAGCAUUCAGUGAGGUCGCUGUUUUCUGUUCCGGCCAUUCUGGUGAGUGCAUGGUGACACUUCACCGAGGGUUAAUUUGCAUUUCCUCGAUGGGGAGGGAUGCGGACUUCUUUGCGUGGGUUUGUUUUCAUCCACAUCUCCUCUUUGGCGGGAAGUCUACUUGUGCCUUUUGUCCAUUUUCUAACUGGAUUGUUUUUUACUGUUGAAUUUUGAGCAUUCUUUAUAUAUUCUAGAUACGAGUCCUUCGUUGCCUAUGUGAUUUGCAAAUAUUUUAUCCCAGUCUC